UGCGUAGGCGGCUCAGAAAGUAGGGUGUGAAAGCCCUCGGCUCAACCGAGGAAUUGCGCCCUAAACUACUGGGCUUGAGGAACGCAGAGGUAAGCGGAACUUAGGGUGGAGCGGUGAAAUGCGUUGAUAUCCUAAGGAACACCAGGAGCGAAAGCGGCUUACUGGGCGUUUUCUGACGCUGAUGCACGAAAGCUAGGGGAGCGAACGGGAUUAGAUACCCCGGUAGUCCUAGCCGUAAACGAUGAGCACUGGAUUGGAGGCCCCCCCAUAGGCUUCUAGUCGUAGCGAAAGUGUUAAGUGCUCCGCCUGGGGAGUAUGGUCGCAAGGCUGAA
rnacentral:rRNA from 1 species